GAGGACGAAGCGGCGAGGCGCCGCAACCGCUUGAUAACCGGGAGUCCGGAGUAGCGCUCCGGAUGGGGUUCGAGUCCCCCGUCCUCC
rnacentral:tRNA from 1 species